rnacentral:snoRNA from 1 species
UUCUAUGAUGAACCCCUGAUAGGGACAGCUUAUGUCAAAGACAUUUGAUGAGCAAACCAGGGCCAGUAUUUUAGUAGAUGCUUCGAAUCUGAUA